rnacentral:rRNA from 1 species
CAGCCGCCGCGGUAAUACGGAGGGUGCAAGCGUUAUCCGGAUUUAUUGGGUUUAAAGGGUCCGUAGGCGGACUUAUAAGUCAGUGGUGAAAGCCUGUCGCUUAACGAUAGAACUGCCAUUGAUACUGUAAGUCUUGAGUAUAUUUGAGGUAGCUGGAAUAAGUAGUGUAGCGGUGAAAUGCAUAGAUAUUACUUAGAACACCAAUUGCGAAGGCAGGUUACCAAGAUAUAAAUGACGCUGAGGGACGAAAGCGUGGGUAGCGAACAGGAUUAGAUACCCCCGUAGUCCCUGUCUCUUAUAC